GUCUCUAUAGCUCAGUGGCAGAGCGCAGGUCUCAUAGUUUCUAUGACCGUCUGAUUCAUCAGCGGGUAAUCCUGAGGUCGACGGUUCGAUGCCGCCUAGGGACA
rnacentral:tRNA from 1 species